AGAGAAUUCUACAAUCUUCAAGUUCUUGUACUUCAUAAGUAAUUACAUACAUUGUCACCGUUGAGAAUAUGCUCACUCUCUUGACUUCUGUAAGGAUACCAGAACUCGAGAAUAUUGCAAAUUAAAUAAGCCUACAGAUUCGAGUAUCGAUAACAGGCACCUUGGAUGGAGGCUGACCUAUGUCUAGAACUUCUUUCAGUGAUAUCCUGCGAUUCCUCCAAGCAAGUUCUGCCCAGUUCUUCAUCAUCUGUCCUUCAGCCUUUCUAUUCUUUUGGACAUCAAGUAUCUUCGCAUACGCACCUCCAGCUAUG
rnacentral:misc_RNA from 1 species